rnacentral:rRNA from 1 species
GGCCUACGGGAGGCAGCAGUAGGGAAUCUUGGACAAUGGGCGAAAGCCUGAUCCAGCCAUGCCGCGUGAGUGAUGAAGGCCUUAGGGUUGUAAAGCUCUUUCGCUAGGGAAGAUAAUGACGGUACCUAGAUAAGAAGCCCCGGCUAACUUCGUGCCAGCAGCCGCGGUAAU